UACGUAGGUGGCAAGCGUUGUCCGGAAUUAUUGGGCGUAAAGCGCGCGCAGGCGGUCCUUUAAGUCUGAUGUGAAAGCCCACGGCUCAACCGUGGAGGGUCAUUGGAAACUGGGGGACUUGAGUACAGAAGAGAAGAGUGGAAUUCCACGUGUAGCGGUGAAAUGCGUAGAGAUGUGGAGGAACACCAGUGGCGAAGGCGACUCUUUGGUCUGUAACUGACGCUGAGGCGCGAAGGCGUGGGGAGCAAACAGG
rnacentral:rRNA from 1 species